UACGUAGGUGGCGAGCGUUGUCCGGAUUUACUGGGCGGAAAGAGCGCGCAGGCGGUCGUCCAAGGCGCGUGUGAAAGCCCCCGGCUCAACUGGGGAGGGUCACGCGAUACUGAUCGACUCGAAGGCAGGAGAGGGAAGCGGAAUUCCCGGUGUAGUGGUGAAAUGCGUAGAUAUCGGGAGGAACACCAGUGGCGAAGGCGGCUUCCUGGCCUGUUCUUGACGCUGAGGCGCGAAAGCUAGGGUAGCAAACGGG
rnacentral:rRNA from 1 species